GUGCUUGCUGUAGUAGCACAUACACUAAAACAGGAAGAACACAGAUAAGAUCAUCAUGGACCCUAUGCAGGCCAAUACACAUAUUCAUGAAGCCAGACACAUCUUA
rnacentral:snRNA from 1 species